UAUCAGGAGGAACACCGAUGGCGAAGGCAGGUCUCUGGGCUGUAACUGACGCUGAGGAGCGAAAGCAUGGGGAGCGAACAGGAUUAGAUACCCUGGUAGUCCAUGCCGUAAACGUUGGGCACUAGGUGUGGGGGACAUUCCACGUUUUCCGCGCCGUAGCUAACGCAUUAAGUGCCCCGCCUGGGGAGUACGGCCGCAAGGCUAAAACUCAAAGGAAUUGACGGGGGCCCGCACAAGCGGCGGAGCAUGCGGAUUAAUUCGAUGCAACGCGAAGAACCUUACCAAGGCUUGACAUGGGCCGGACCGGGCUGGAAACAGUCCUUCCCUUUUGGG
rnacentral:rRNA from 1 species